rnacentral:rRNA from 1 species
GAAACAUUUUCCCUAAGCUAUGACUAUCUCUCUUUGACAUCUUUCUUGGACGCUUCCCCUUCCUUGGAAACCUUCAUUUUGGAAGUAUGGGAACUACACAUGGAGCAUGUCUCGGCUUCCACCGAUCCCUCGGAGCCAAGGGAGAUUCCUGGACACAACCAUGACAAGCUCAAGAAUGUGAGGAUCCACGGCUUCUCGUCCACGAAGAGCUUGAUCGAGCUGACGUGCCAUAUUGUUCAGACCGCAACGUCGCUCGAGUGGCUUGUAUUGGACACACGGGAAGGGCUUGCCUUGCCUGAUUGUUCUGUCAACAAAAUCGGCAAAUGCUUGAGUAUGCCAAGGAAAAUUAUUCUUGAAGCCCAUAAAGCACUUGUGGCUGUCCAAACUUACAUCAAGCCGAAGGUUCCAUCUACAGUCCAGUUUCGUGUUCUGGAGCCUUGUAGCCGAUGCCAUGUUGUAGAUGAUCAUUAG